rnacentral:rRNA from 1 species
AGAAUCAACGCUGGCGGCGUGCCUAACACAUGCAAGUCGAACGAGAAAGGGAUUUCGGUCCUGAGUAAAGUGGCGCACGGGUGAGUAACACGUGAAUCAUCUACCUUUGAGUGGGGAAUAGCUGAGGGAAACCUUAAUUAAUACCGCAUAAUACCUACGGGUCAAAGCCGCAAGGCGCUUAAAGAGGAGUUCGCGGCCGAUUAGUUAGUUGGCGGGGUAAUGGCCCACCAAGACGAUGAUCGGUAUCCGGCCUGAGAGGGCGCACGGACACACUGGAACUGAAACACGGUCCAGACUCCUACGGGAGGCAGCAGUGGGGAAUUUGCGCAAUGGGGGAAACCCUGACGCAGCAACGCCGCGUGGAGGAUGAAGUAUCUUGGUACGUAAACUCCUUUCGAUGGGGAAGAUAAUGACGGUACCCAUAGAAGAAGCCCCGGCUAACUUCGCGCCAGCAGCCGC